rnacentral:rRNA from 1 species
GACCGUAUAGUACGAGAGGAACUACGG